rnacentral:tRNA from 1 species
GGAGAGGUGGCCGAGCGGUUGAAGGCGGCGCUCUUGAAAAGCGUUGAGUCGCAAGACUUCGUGGGUUCGAAUCCCACCCUCUCCGCCA